AACGGUCAUACUACGCUGAAUAUACCGGUUCUCGUUAGAUCACCGAAGUCAAGCAUCAUUGGGCGCGGUCAGUACUUGGGUGGGUGACCACCUGGGAACACCGCAUGCCGUU
rnacentral:rRNA from 1 species